rnacentral:rRNA from 1 species
CGCAUCUGUGCAUGCAGCAUAUCAAUAAGCGGAGGAAAAGAAACUAACAAGGAUUCCCUCAGUAACGGCGAGUGAAGCGGGAAGAGCUCAAAUUUGAAAUCUUGAAAGGUCACCUUUCACGAAUUGUAGUUUAAAGAAGUGUUUUCUGUUACGAUCGUAAUAUAAGUUCUUUGGAAUAGGACAUCACAGAGGGUGAGAAUCCCGUCUAUGAUUGCGAUUUGUAGCUUUGUGAUACACUUUCAAAGAGUCGGGUUGUUUGGGAAUGCAGCCCAAAACGGGAGGUAAAUUUCUUCUAAGGCUAAAUAUUGGCGAGAGACCGAUAGCGAACAAGGUACCGUGAGGGAAAGAUGAAAAGAACUUUGAAAAGAGAGUUAAAUAGUACGUGAAAUUGUCAAAAGGGAAGCGUUUAACACCAGUGUUGUUUUCUGAAAAUCAACCUCUGUUAGCUUUAUGCAUGUUUGUUUAGACCUAAUCAGCUAUCUUGCAUGUUCUAUUGUUUGCAGUGGUGCACUUUUCAGGUUUACAGGUCAACAUCAGUUUUUUUUACCGUAAAAAAGUUAAAGAAAGGUAGCUCAUGGCUCCGGUCAGUGAGUGUUAUAGUCUUUUUCCUAUGCGGUAGGAGAGACUGAGGUCUGCAGUGUAGGCUAUUUGACUAGAUACUCAGGUGCUAUGUGAUACCAUUUCAUAAACAACUUGUUGAUUAUGUUUUGUCUAUUGCAUACUCGCUUGUACUAUCAUACCUACGCUUAGGAUGUUGACGAUCAGCUGAGCGCG